rnacentral:rRNA from 1 species
GUGCCAGCCGCCGCGGUAAAACGUAGGAGGCGAGCGUUAUCCGGAUUUACUGGGCGUAAAGCGCGUGCAGGCGGUAAGGAAAGUUGGAUGUGAAAGCUCCUGGCUUAACUGGGAGAGGUCGUUCAAAACUACCUAACUAGAGUAUGGGAGAGGGAGGCGGAAUUCCGGGUGUAGUGGUGAAAUGCGUAGAUAUCCGGAGGAACACCAGUGGCGAAAGCGGCCUCCUGGUCCAAGACUGACGCUCAGACGCGAAAGCUAGGGUAGCAAACGGGAUUAGAUACCCUCGUAGUCC